rnacentral:rRNA from 1 species
UACGAAGGGGGCUAGCGUUGUUCGGAAUCACUGGGCGUAAAGCGCACGUAGGCGGAUCCUUAAGUCAGGGGUGAAAUCCCGAGGCUCAACCUCGGAACUGCCUUUGAUACUGGGGAUCUCGAGUCCGGGAGAGGUGAGUGGAACUGCGAGUGUAGAGGUGAAAUUCGUAGAUAUUCGCAAGAACACCAGUGGCGAAGGCGGCUCACUGGCCCGGAACUGACGCUGAGGUGCGAAAGCGUGGGGAGCAAACAGG